AUUCAAAAUUACAUGAAAUUGAAAUUGGGACACAAAAACAUCCCCUUUCAUUGAUUCCUCUUUUUUCCUCUUAGGAAGCCCCUGUCUCUCAGGUUUUGUUGACUGUUCGUUGUCACAAAGUUCCAUUUCAGGAUACUCAUUCACCAUUGUUCACGAGAUUGACAGGCAUUUGGGUUCUGGGAUGCCAUUUGAGAGGAUUUUGUCAUAGAUAUUCAGGGGUCAUAAGUCAUGAUUCAGCAAGGUCUUCUGGCGUACAUAGAUGUUCAUAGGAUCGUCAGGGUAUGAGAGCGUUUGUUCAAGUCAAGUGAGCUAUCUACCAAGUGGGAUGAUUACGAGAGUGACUGUGUCAGUGUGUAGGUGUGUCAAAGUAGCAGAUUGGAC